GGUUUGAUCCUGGCUCAGAUUGAACGCUGGCGGGAUGCUUUACACAUGCAAGUCGAACGGGCAGCACGGACUUCGGUCUGGUGGCGAGUGGCGAACGGGUGAGUACGUAUCGGAACGUGCCUAGUAGCGGGGAUAACUACGCGAAAGCGUAGCCAAUACCGCAUACGCCCUUCGGGGGAAAGCGGGGACCUUCGGGCCUCGCACUAUUAGAGCGCCGAUAUCGGAUUAGCCAGUUGGUGGGCAGUGCUCCGCUCACCAAGGCGACGAUCCGUAGCUGGUUUGAGAGGACGACCAGCCACACUGGGACUGAGACACGGCCCAGACUCCUACGGAGGCAGCAGUGGGGAAUUUGGACAAUGGGGGAAACCCCUGAUCCAGCCAUCCCGCGUGUGCGAUGAAGGCCUUGGGUUGUAAAGCACUUUUGGCAGGAAAGAAAUGGCACGGGAUAACACUCUCGUGCAACUGACGGUACCUUGCAGAAUAAGCACCGGCUAACUACGUGCCAGCAGCCGCGGUAAUACGUAGGGUGCAAGCGUUAAUCGGAAUUACUGCGAAGCGUGCGCAGGCGGUUCGGAAAGAAAGAUGAAAUCCCAGAGCUUAACUUUUGAAACUGCAUUUAACUACCGAGCUAGAGGUGUCAGAGGGAGGUGGAAUUUUCCGCGUAGCAGUGAAAUGCGUAGAUAUGCGGAGGAACACCGAUGGCGAAGGCAGCCUCCUGAUAACACUGACGCUCAUGCACGAAAGCGUGGGGAGCAAACAGGAUUAGAUACCCUGGUAGUCCACGCCCCAAACGAUGUCAACUAGCUGUUGGGGCCUUCGGGCCUUGUAGCGCAGUUGGAUCACGUGAAGUUGACCGCCUGGGGAGUACGGUCGCAAGAUUAAACCCAAAGGAAUUGACGGAACAAAAUAAGCGGUGGAUGAUGAUUGACCUGAUAACGCGAAAACCUUACCUACCUCGAUAUGUCUGGAAUCCCGAAGAGAUUUGGGAGUGCUCGCAAGAGAACCGAACACAGGUGCUGCAUGGAUGUCGUCAGCUCGUGUCGUGAGAUGCUGGGUUAAGUCCUGCAACGAGCGCAACCCCUGUCAUUAGUUGCUACGAAAGGGCACUCUAAUGAGACUGCCGGUGACAAACCGGAGGAGCAGGGAUGACGUCAAGUCCUCAUGGCCCUGCGGCAGGGCUUCACACGUCAUACAAUGGUCGGGACAGAGGGUCGCCAACCCGCGAGGGGGAGCCAAUCCCAGAAACCCGAUCGCAGUCCGGAUCGCAGUCUGCAACUCGACUGCGUGAAGUCGGAACCGGUUAGUGCAAUCGCGGAUCAGCAUGUCGCGGUGAAUACGUUCCCGGCCGGUACACACCGCCCGUCACACCAUGGGGAGUGGGUUUUACCAGAAGCGGAAGUACCAACCUGCGGCGAGGGCGAUUACUGCUACGGUAGGAUUCAUGACUGGGGUGAAGUCGUAACAAGGUAG
rnacentral:rRNA from 1 species